UUAUAUGGUCAAGAAGAGAAGCGCAAACGGUGGAUGCCUUGGCAGUAAGAGGCGAAGAAGGACGUGGAAUCCUGCGAAAAGCUAUGGGGAGCUGGAAACGAGCGUUGAGCCAUAGAUGUCCGAAUGGGGGAACCCGGCUGCAGCGAUGCGGUCAUUUGCAUUUGAAUACAUAGGAUGCAAAGGCGAACUCGGGGAACUGAAACAUCUAAGUACCCGAAGGAAAAGAAAUCAAGAGAGAUUCUCCAAGUAGCGGCGAGCGAACGGGGAGGAGCCUGGCGUGAUUUAUUAUUGAACUGAGUAGAACAAUUUGGGAAAGUUGGCCGAAGAGGGUGAAAGCCC
rnacentral:rRNA from 1 species